rnacentral:rRNA from 1 species
GUGAACGCUGGCGGUAGGCCUAACACAUGCAAGUCGAACGGCAGCACAGUAAGCGCUUGCUCUUACGGGUGGCGAGUGGCGGACGGGUGAGGAAUACAUCGGAAUCUACUUUUUCGUGGGGGAUAACGUAGGGAAACUUACGCUAAUACCGCAUACGACCUACGGGUGAAAGCAGGGGAUCUUCGGACCUUGCGCGAUUGAAUGAGCCGAUGUCGGAUUAGCUAGUUGGCGGGGUAAAGGCCCACCAAGGCGACGAUCCGUAGCUGGUCUGAGAGGAUGAUCAGCCACACUGGAACUGAGACACGGUCCAGACUCCUACGGGAGGCAGCAGUGGGGAAUAUUGGACAAUGGGCGCAAGCCUGAUCCAGCCAUACCGCGUGGGUGAAGAAGACCUUCGGGUUGUAAAGCCCUUUUGUUGGGAAAGAAAAGCAGCAGGUUAAUACCCCGCUGUUCUGACGGUACCCAAAGAAUAAGCACCGGCUAACUUCGUG